GCCAAAGCCAUAUCAUCCUGCAGCCCAAGACCGGUUACUCACCGAAGCUAAGCAGGGCUGAGCCUGGUUAGUACCUGGAUGGGAGACCACAUGGGAAAACGUAGUUGCUGUUGGAA
ensembl:rRNA 5S_rRNA 5S ribosomal RNA